rnacentral:rRNA from 1 species
GAUGAACGCUGGCGGCGUGCCUAAUACAUGCAAGUCGAGCGAACAGACGAGUAUCUUUCUCCUCUGACGUUAUCGGCUGACGUGUUAUUAACACGUGGAUAACCUACCUAUAAGACUUGUAUAACUUCGGGAAACCGGAGCUAAUACCGGAUAAUAUAUUUAACCGCAUGGUUCAAUAGUGAAAUACGGUUUUUCUGUCACUUAUAGAUGGAUCCGCGCCGCAUUAGCUAGUUGGUAAGGUAACGGCUUACCAAGGCAACGAUGCGUAGCCGACCUGAGAGGGGGAGAGGCCACACUGGAAGGGAGACACGGAACAGAAGACGACGGGAGGCAGAAGUAGGGAAUGGUACGCAAUGGGCGAAAGCAUGACGGAGCAACGCAGAGUGAGUGAUGAAGGUCUGAGGAUCGUAAAAAUAUGUUAUUAGGGAAGAAAAAAUGUGUAAGAAAAUAGGCACGUAUUGAAGGUAACGAAAAAGAAAGCAAAGGCUAACUACGUG